CGUAGGUAAUCUACCUUCGGAUGGGGAAUAACAAUCGGAAACGAUUGCUAAUACCGCAUAAUGCAGCGGCACCUAAUGGUGACAGUUGUUAAAGCGGGGGAUCGAAAGACCUCGCGUCUGAAGAGGAGCCUGCGGCGGAUUAGCUAGUUGGUAAGGUAACGGCUUACCAAGGCGACGAUCCGUAGCCGGCCUGAGAGGGCGGUCGGCCACACUGACACUGACAUACGGGUCAG
rnacentral:rRNA from 1 species